rnacentral:rRNA from 1 species
AGAGUUUGAUCAUGGCUCAGAACGAACGCUGGCGGCAUGCCUAACACAUGCAAGUCGAACGAGACCUUCGGGUCUAGUGGCGCACGGGUGCGUAACGCGUGGGAAUCUGCCCCUUGGUUCGGAAUAACAGUUAGAAAUGACUGCUAAUACCGGAUGAUGACUUCGGUCCAAAGAUUUAUCGCCAAGGGAUGAGCCCGCGUAAGAUUAGGUAGUUGGUGGGGUAAAGGCCUACCAAGCCGACGAUCUUUAGCUGGUCUGAGAGGAUGAUCAGCCACACUGGGACUGAGACACGGCCCAGACUCCUACGGGAGGCAGCAGUGGGGAAUAUUGGACAAUGGGCGAAAGCCUGAUCCAGCAAUGCCGCGUGAGUGAUGAAGGCCUUAGGGUUGUAAAGCUCUUUUACCAGGGAUGAUAAUGACAGUACCUGGAGAAUAAGCUCCGGCUAACUCCGUG